AACAGGUGGCUUGGGCCCUCCAUUUGCCUACAGGGCGGGAGGGGGUUGGGGAAGUGGGUAGGGGAUGAGGAGACUAUGUAUGACAGAUACCAACAGACUACCCCAUGUCAUUUGGAGUGUGUGCAUGUAUAGUUUAUGUUUAGGCCAUGAGGAGCCCUGCACACACUCAAUAUACUUGGUGAGAAAGCCAGUUGAGGGAUAAGGGCCAGUGGGAAGUGUAAAGGAAACACAUUGGGCUGCCCAUCUCACUGAGCGGUUCAGAGAAAUGGUCUAAGGUUUAGUCAGCCAAAACUUCUCAGCCAUUUUUAUUUGAGUAAAUUGAAACAGGCACAUGGACCCACACAGAGACAUAUGAGAACAAGAAGAGACAGAGAGGGAGAAAAGAAAGAUAGGUUAGAAGAUUUCUGUCCCAGGAUGAGUUGUCCUAGAUGCCUUCUGAGGUUCUUCUUCCAACUAUAAGAGUAUAUGAUGAGAGAGAGAGAGACAGAGAGAGAGAGAGACAGAGGCAAAGAGAGACACAGAGAGACAGAGACACAGAGACAGACACAGAGACAGACAGAGACAGACAGAGAGAAAGGCAGAGAGAGAGCUCAGGCAUGGGGUGAGGGGGAGAGAGAGGGAGUAAGAGAAAGGGUAAAGAGGGAGGAGAGGGAGAGAAAAGAGGGGAAGGGAGGAGAGGAAGAGAGAUAGAGAGAACUGUAAAAUGUUUCUCCUAAGUGGCCAUUGGUAAAACUGAAGUGUGUAGAAGGUAUAAAGGUUCAAUAUGGAUACAACUAAACUCAUGACUUUACUGCAAAGCGGGAAAGUAAGCAGUUUCCAAAGACACAGAGAAGCAGGCGUAAAAAUAAUUGCAGGCCCAUCUGGAUGUGGUUUGCAUUCGACUGUAAGCACCCAGGCUCGAAGGAAGAACAGACUUUACAUAAUAUCACUUUGAACAGGACCUAGCACUGCAGCUACUGAAAGAAAGAUGUUUUACCAAUGUUUUUGAUGGUGUCAAGGAUACAAGCCUGGUUGAUAAGCCAAGAAAGCCUUUAUUUAACACAAAAUGAUGAAUAUUAAAAAAGGUACUCUCACUCACCUCCUUGCUUAUUUUGUGUAAUAAACGACAAGCCAGCAUCCC